rnacentral:lncRNA from 1 species
CUACAUAGAAUGGGCACUAUAGAAGAUUGAUAGCUUUGAGGUCUUUGAUCUCCAAGGAGUUCGUUUUCUUCUUGAAGUCCUCAUUUCAGAAGUCAAAGUAGGAGAAUAUCACAGAAUUAUAUGAGCAUCAAAGAUCUAGCAAUUAACCAGAAUUAAAACAAACAUGUGGAUAGUGCAAGCUGUGUUAUAAAGUACAAGUUCAUAUUUAUGCUUUACA